CUUUCAUAAAGCGUGAAGUAACUUCAUAGAAUGGCAUUGUUAAAGCUUGGUUUCUUUUUAACUAUCCUUCUAAUGGCAGCAGCUACAAUCAAAGCUGCACCAAAUGUUGAUCUCGAUGUCUCAAAGAUGGAGAGAAGACUACUUCCACAACUUAAUACUUGUUUGAGAUCUUGUGAAAACAACGAUGGUUGCAGUGAUUGUUGGGUUUGCUGUACCUGCAAAGACUUUUUUGGAGCUAUUACAUUCAUGUGUCAGGCAUAAAUUUCAAAAGAGUAGUACGUUGAAAUCAUAUAACAAUAAACUCAGUAGCAAAUCUGUUUAAUGCAUUUAUGUUUUAGUGUGAUUUCAAUGUUUUUUUUUUCUUUUAUUUGUCGUCUUUAAUAAUUUUACGAAUAAUGAAGAAAGUGAGGUAUUACUUUCUA